AGAGAAAGCGGCAUUCCAGGUGGAGGGAAAAGUAUAAGCAAAGGCACGGUAAUGUGAUGAUACUGCAUAGCAGGAGCUACAGAGAAUUUAGUACCAUAUUUUCGCAGCAUCAAAUGCCAGAUCGGAGGAGACCAAGGGGCCAGGUAGCUACAGCAUCUCUGGCUGCCUGAGUACCUUCCUCCCAUCAGCAGCACAGCCACCAACUUGGGCAAGGAAAGAAAAUCUUGGACAAAAAGGGAUGGUAUAAGCGGGAGACGCCCAUAAUAGCACACACAUGGAAGGUGCUCCAAUUUAAUUGCGUCAAUGAAGAAAGAGGAGAGAGAGGUUUCAAGAUGUGUCAGAAUAAGGCGACUGGAGCUGCAGCAGGUAAAGAGGUCUUUCAUCCAG
ensembl:lncRNA